rnacentral:rRNA from 1 species
GGGGAAUAUUGCACAAUGGGGGAAACCCUGAUGCAGCAACGCCGCGUGAGCGAUGAAGGCCUUCGGGUUGUAAAGCUCUGUCUUCUCUGACGAUAAUGACGGUAAGAGAGGAGGAAGCCACGGCUAACUACGUGCCAGCAGCCGCGGUAAUACGUAGGUGGCAAGCGUUGUCCGGAAUUAUUGGGCGUAAAGGAUGCGUAGGCGGUCUUUUAAGUGGGAUGUGAAAUACCCGGGCUUAACCUGGGAAUGGCAUUCCAAACUGGAAGACUAGAGUGCAGGAGAGGAAAGUGGAAUUCCCAGUGUAGCGGUGAAAUGCGUAGAGAUUGGGAGGAACACCAGUGGCGAAGGCGACUUUCUGGACUGUAACUGACGCUGAGGCAUGAAAGCGUGGGGAGCAAAC